CUUAAAUUGUGUUCUGAAGACAAACAAAGCUUUUACAGUUUUGGAACGACAUGGGGGUAAGUGAUUAGUGACAAUAUAUUCACUUUUGGGUAGAGUAUCCCUUUAACACAUUGGUCUGUCAAAUUCUGGAUGGCCACAGUGCUGCAUAGUAAAGCUCCAACACUAAUCAAAUACACCUGCUCCAUCUAAUAAAGCUCUUCAGGAUACUAGAAACUUUCAAGCAGGUGUGAAUUAGAGUUAUACUAUUGCUGUGUCCCAAACUGAAGUGCGUGGACUCCGAAGUGAGAAUGUGAAGUGCGAUUGUCACAGUGCCAUGACGCAAGCUGUCCCAAAGUCAGAUGGCACACUCUGAAGACCGCAUUCCAAGGCUGAUUGCGUCACCGCGGCGUGAAGUAGGCUGAUGAAUUGCAAAAGCAACUUAAAUGCACCCUUCAUUUCCUAGGAAGAUGGAAGUGUACAUCUGAUGACAACGGUUGUUACAUUCAAAGAGCACGGAAGUACAAUUCUGGAGAAAAUUAGUCUGCUGGGGAAGGACUUAUAGAAAGAUUGCAAGUGUCCUGGGACAGGUGAGGGCAUGAGUGGAAGCUGGUGGAGUUGCUUAGAGAGGACAUUGAACUCCAGAGAGAGAGUUGAGCAUGGAGAGAUUGGAGGGACUGUUUCCUCUUCUUGAGAAAAUGCUUCACAAAUAAAUACUUUAUUAGCCAAGAGAAAACAGUGGAAAAAUCCGCCGAGAAGCAGCCUCACCUCGGCUAGACCUUCUGAUAUGUGCCGCUGGCUCUGAUUUCUCUUUAGUGGUUAAACAUAAAAUAUAAUCAGU